GUGGGGAAUAUUGGACAAUGGACGCAAGUCUGAUCCAGCCAUGCCGCGUGAAGGAUUAAGGUCCUCUGGAUUGUAAACUUCUUUUAUAAGGGACGAAAAAAGGCUUUUCUAAGUCGUCUGACGGUACCUUAUGAAUAAGCACCGGCUAACUUCGUGCCAGCAGCCGCGGUAAUACGGAGGGUGCAAGCGUUAUCCGGAUUCACUGGGUUUAAAGGGUGCGUAGGCGGGCAGGUAAGUCAGUGGUGAAAUCCUAGAGCUUAACUCUAGAACUGCCAUUGAUACUAUCUGUCUUGAAUAUUGUGGAGGUAAGCGGAAUAUGUCAUGUAGCGGUGAAAUGCUUAGAUAUGACAUAGAACACCUAUUGCGAAGGCAGCUUACUACGCAUAUAUUGACGCUGAGGCACGAAAGCGUGGGGAUCAAACAGGAUUAGAAACCCUUGUAGUCC
rnacentral:rRNA from 1 species